GUCUGGGUCUUGCCAUCGCACGCGGUGUUUGUCACGAUUUUCCUUGCCAGUUUUAUCACUGAACCCUGCUGUUUGCUUGAAUACAGUGAAGCGACUAGUGGUCGCAAUUUCAUACGCUUUAAUUAACUCGUAUGCAGUAACUUCGUCUUUAACAUAUCCAGAAAAAGAAUCAAACUGUGCUGUAAAAUGCAAUGUCCACGGAUCGCUUGAUGUGGAACUCGCCAUUUCGAAAUUAAAAAUUCGCGCGAAUUUGAUUUUUAUUGUUUACAAUUAAAACCGGAAACACAGCAACCGGAUACGAGUCAGCGUUGUUCAUUACUGCUGGUAAAAUAUUAAGUGACU